rnacentral:rRNA from 1 species
ACGGAGGGUGCAAGCGUUAUCCGGAUUCACUGGGUUUAAAGGGUGCGUAGGUGGGUUGGUAAGUCAGUGGUGAAAUCCCCGAGCUUAACUUGGGAACUGCCAUUGAUACUAUCAGUCUUGAAUAUUGUGGAGGUCAGCGGAAUAUGUCAUGUAGCGGUGAAAUGCUUAGAUAUGACAUAGAACACCAAUUGCGAAGGCAGCUGGCUACGCAUAUAUUGACACUGAGGCACGAAAGCGUGGGGAUCAAACAGGA